rnacentral:lncRNA from 1 species
CCCGCUGCUUCGACUACGAUCUGACAGCCCCGUAGCGGCGUGGGGAUGGCGAGCAGCAACACCGGCGAGCCGAGCACGGCGCCGCAACCGAAUCGGUGGUACGACCUUCGAUUGGGAUCCUCCUGCCGCGACCCCGCCCUUACCACCAAGUUCUGCACGCUCCGCUGUAAGAUACCGGAUCCCCCCUCCCCCCUCUUUCUUGUUUAGCACCGUCACCGCCUUUGAAAGACGAUCCGCAUCCGUGAUGAUGUGGCCACUUGGUGGUCUUUUUUCUCGCUUUUCUUUUGUAUUUUCUUUGGGCGUGCUUGUGCUGUUGCUCACUUUGUUUAUUUCACAGCUUGCUACUCGUUGUAUGGAUGGUUGCUUUAUCUAUAAAGCGGGGCGAAAGCCUAUUUCGACAUAUUAUUAGUUGUUUAGUUCGACGAGAGGUAGGGGUUUUCUUCAACCAAUUGUUGGUAUGGUGUGUGAUGCCCGUUUUGGUAUUUGAAUUCUGGAGUUCAUCGAAUCGGUUGCCAUAGGGUGUCCUGUAACGAUGUUUGGGUUGUGAUUACAGUGGAGACGUGUAACUUGUUAGAGGAAUAACAACUUUAUCUCUUUUGCAUAGGGUCAAGACCAAUAUACACAGGUACAUGUGAAGAGAUAAGUAGGAAUCUAGUGCAAAAGGAUACCAAUCACUUUUGUGGGCUUAUUAUUAUCUUCUGCUAAUAUGUUUUGAUCUGAUGAAUUUGUCUUGUUGAUCAGAUAGCGGUUGUUGAAAUUAUGGAGUAGUUUGAUGUCAAUAGCAAAAGAAGCACCGUAAGGUCUUGUACAAUGCAAGGUGCUG